rnacentral:rRNA from 1 species
UAAGGAAUAUUGGUCAAUGGACGCAAGUCUGAACCAGCCAUGCCGCGUGAAGGAUGAAGGUCCUCUGGAUUGUAAACUUCUUUUAUCUGGGACGAAAACGGGAUUUUUAUCUCAAUUGACGGUACCUGAGGAAUAAGCACCGGCUAACUCCGUGCCAGCAGCCGCGGUAAUACGGAGGGUGCGAGCGUUAUCCGGAUUUACUGGGUUUAAAGGGUGCGUAGGUGGGCUUAUAAGUCAGUGGUGAAAUCUCCGAGCUUAACUUGGAAACUGCCGUUGAUACUAUAGGUCUUGAAUUAUCUGGAGGUAAGCGGAAUAUGUCAUGUAGCGGUGAAAUGCUUAGAUAUGACAUAGAACACCAAUUGCGAAGGCAGCUUACUACAUAUAAAUUGACGCUGAGGCACGAAAGCGUGGGGAUCAAACA